rnacentral:lncRNA from 1 species
AUGUUCUUCAUUUCACUUGAAAUGCAGAGUCACAGUGAGAAGGGGAGGGAGAGAGGCACGUCCCUCUGCUGCUUCACUCCCCAGGUGGCCGCUCCUGGCUGGACCGGGAGCAUCGUUUGGGUCUCCCACGUGUGUGCAGGGGCCCAAGGUCUUGGGCCAUCUUCUGUUGCUUUCCCAGGCCAUCAGCAGAGACAGGAACCAGCACCUAUAUGGGAUGCCAGCAUUGCCGGUGGUGGCUUCAUCUGCUAUGCCACAAUGCUGGUCCUCAAAAUACUUAUUUUUAAAAAAGAUUUAUUUAUUUAUGUAAAAGUCAGAGUUACACAGAGAGAGAAGGAGAGAAGGAGAGAAGAAGAGAAGGAGAGAGAGAGAGAGAGAGGGGUCUUCUAUCCGCUGGUUCACUUCCCAACUGACCGCAACAGCCAGAGCUGGGCUGAUCCAGAGCCAGGAGCCAGGAGCUUCUUCCAGGUCUCCCACUCGGGUACAGCUCCCACGUGGGUGCAGGGGCCCAAGGACUUGGGCCGUCCUCUACUGCACUCCCUGGCCAUAGCAGAGAGCUGGAUUGGAAGUGGAACAUCCAGGUCUCAAACUGGUGCCCACGUGGGAUGUCGGCACUGCAGGUGGCGGCUUUACCUGCUAUGCCACAGCGCCAGCCCCUCAAAACACAUUUUUUUUUUAAGAUUUCUUUAUUUAUUUGAAAGUCAGAGUUACACAGAGAGAGGAGAGGCAGAGAGAGAGAGGUCUUCCAUCCAAUGGCUCACUCCCCAACUGGCCACAACGGCUGGAACUGCACUGAUCCGAAGUCAGGAGCCAGGUGCUUCCUCCUGGUCUCCCACGCAGGUGCAGGGGCCCAAGGACUUGGGCCAUCCUCCACUGCUCUCUCAGGCCACAGCAGAGAGCUGGAUUGGAAGUGGAGCAGUGGGGUCUCGAACUGGUGCCCAUAUGGGAUGCCAGUGCUUCAGCCAGCGUGUUAACCUACUGCGCUACAGCACCAGCGCCAAAACACAUUUUUAA